rnacentral:lncRNA from 1 species
AUUCGAUACAAUUUCUACACAUUAGCCUUUGUAUCUCAUCCCCCAAGUUUUAAAUUUUAUAUCUAUAUGAAAAGGGGGAUAACUCAAUUUUAAUUUCAAAAGUGUCAAACAGCUGUUAGUCCCCAGUUUUUCCAAGUUGUAAUUUGUUAUGUAAAUAUGUAUAUAUGUUGUGAUAUUACACAUGCUUAGUAGUAAUAAAAUAUUUCUUUUAUCCUAUUGUUUGUUAACAUAGAUGGAUUCAAAGUAUGAUAGAAGUGAUGGUAUAAAUCCGUGAGACAGCAAAACAAUAGAAUAUUGUUUAAAAAAUGUACAUAUCUAAGAGGCAGCAUCAGGUCAACUUGGCAAUAGUAUUUUAGUACGACAGUAAAGGACUUAUAAGUUGAUAUAGUUUGCUCAGGUCACUUUCUAGUUUGGUAUAUAAGUCAUGCAAUAUAGUAACAGGUUUGUAAAGGUCCAAGAUUGGUUUUCUUAUACAUGUAUCCAGUUCCAUUAUUGUGGUAUAUGCCAUGAGACAUUUACAAGGCUGUUCGUAUAUGUAGAUAUCGUGAGAAAUAUUGGGUUUAUUACAUUAGGAAAUGAC